AGAUGUGGACAUCACUUUGGUUGUACCCUGUUCUUUUAUUGGUAGUUCCUUUAACUAACAUAGGAAGGUGUAACGAUGAACAGAGACAGCAGGUCUUUUGUAGAGAAAUCAAUCAAAACUGCAGUACCAAUAUGAAUGAACUAGAUGUUGAAUGGGGCAAUUGUUUGUCGGCUUUAAGCCAAUUCCAAUGUAGAGCCAACCCGCUGUGUAUGGUCGAUUCAAUGCCAUGUAUGCUUAACUUUACAGCUUUUUUGGAACAGUUGGAUUUAUAGCUUCUGAAUAAAACACUGGAG
rnacentral:lncRNA from 1 species